rnacentral:lncRNA from 1 species
GUCAAGAAGAGAAACGGAGCAACUAGGCCCGGCUUGAGCUCCUGAACUCUCGAAGCCACAGUGACGAACUUCCUCCAAGAAGGCCGCACCUGACAGGGCCGCUCCUCAUGGGCCAACGGCAGCCAUUUUCACGCGGACCUCGCGGGCCGAGUGUCCUCAGCCGCUGUGCAGGUCUCUUCCUUCGUCCCUGUCCUUUAGAAUGCGGAGCUGACAUUUAAUCAGGAUUCAGGGGAAUUAGAGCCCCACACCGCCGAGCUGGACUUGUGAAAACUCCUCCUCGUGACUGAAGGAGAUUUCCACAGCAGGACAUAGACCGGCAGCCUGUGCGUCGGUGCCUGUCAUGGCGUCGCUCUGCACAGGUCCAGGGGAGUCACCGACUGGGGAUGUGAAGUUUCUCUUUCUCCUGUUGAACGCGCACUCCUGGAGACGUCUGUUUUCCAGUCUCACCUGCGGCCAGCGCUCCUUACACAGGACACAGGUGGAGGACAGCGCUCAGGCGCCCCCUGGUGGCUUCUACUGAACAGAUUUCAUGUAAUGAGACGACGAAAGAAAUUCUGAGAAAGGUGCGGGGCUGUGUACAGUAAAUUUCCCUUACACAAAUGUUCGUGU